AGUGAACGCUGGCGGUAGGCCUAACACAUGCAAGUCGAACGGCAGCACAGUAAGAGCUUGCUCUUACGGGUGGCGAGUGGCGGACGGGUGAGGAAUACAUCGGAAUCUACUUUUUCGUGGGGGAUAACGUAGGGAAACUUACGCUAAUACCGCAUACGACCUACGGGUGAAAGCAGGGGAUCUUCGGACCUUGCGCGAUUGAAUGAGCCGAUGUCGGAUUAGCUAGUUGGCGGGGUAAAGGCCCACCAAGGCGACGAUCCGUAGCUGGUCUGAGAGGAUGAUCAGCCACACUAGAACUGAGACACGGUCCAGACACCUACGGGAGGCAGCAGUGGGGAAUAUUGGACAAUGGACGCAAGCCUGAUCCAGCCAUACCGCGUGGGUGAAGAAGGCCUUCGGGUUGUAAAGCCCUUCUGUUGGGAAAGAAAAGCAGCAGGUUAAUACCCCGCUGUUCUGACGGUACCCAAAGAAUAAGCACCGGCUAACUUCGUG
rnacentral:rRNA from 1 species